GAUGAAGAACGUAGCGAAAUGCGAUAAGUAGCGUGAAUUGCAGAAUUCAGUGAAUCAUCGAAUCUUUGAACGCACAUUGCGCCCUUUGGUAUUCCAAAGGGCAUGCCUGUUCGAGCGUCAUUUGUACCCUCAAGCUUUGCUUGGUGUUGGGCGUCUUGUCUCUAGCUUUGCUGGAGACUCGCCUUAAAGUAAUUGGCAGCCGGCCUACUGGUUUCGGAGCGCAGCACAAGUCGCACUCUCUAUCAGCAAAGGUCUAGCAUCCAUUAAGCCUUUUUUUCAACUUUUGACCUCGGAUCAGGUAGGGAUACCCGCUGAACUUAAGCAUAUCAAUAAGCGGAGGA
rnacentral:misc_RNA from 1 species